AACGCGAAGAACCUUACCAAGGCUUGACAUAUACCGGAAACGUCCAGAGAUGGUCGCCCCGUAAGGUCGGUAUACAGGUGGUGCAUGGUUGUCGUCAGCUCGUGUCGUGAGAUGUUGGGUUAAGUCCCGCAACGAGCGCAACCCUCGUUCUAUGUUGCCAGCACGUAAUGGUGGGAACUCUAGCGAGACUGCCGGUGACAAACCGGAGGAAGGUGGGGACGACGUCAAGUCAUCAUGCCCCUUAUGUCCUGGGCUACACACGUGUUACAAUGGCUGGGACAAUGUGAUGCAAUACCGCGAGGUUGAGCGAAUCACCAAAACCCAGUCUCAGUUCGGAUCGUAGGCUGCAACUCGCCUGCGUGAAGUCGGAAUCGCUAGUAACCGCCAAUCAGCACGUGGCGGUGAAUACGUUCCCGGGCCUUGUACACACCGCUACAGU
rnacentral:rRNA from 1 species